AGAGUUUGAUCCUGGCUCAGGACGAACGCUGGCGGCGUGCCUAAUACAUGCAAGUCGAACGCUUCUUUUUCCACCGGAGCUUGCUCCACCGGAAAAAGAGGAGUGGCGAACGGGUGAGUAACACGUGGGUAACCUGCCCAUCAGAAGGGGAUAACACUUGGAAACAGGUGCUAAUACCGUAUAACAAUCGAAACCGCAUGGUUUUGAUUUGAAAGGCGCUUUCGGGUGUCGCUGAUGGAUGGACCCGCGGUGCAUUAGCUAGUUGGUGAGGUAACGGCUCACCAAGGCGACGAUGCAUAGCCGACCUGAGAGGGUGAUCGGCCACAUUGGGACUGAGACACGGCCCAAACUCCUACGGGAGGCAGCAGUAGGGAAUCUUCGGCAAUGGACGAAAGUCUGACCGAGCAACGCCGCGUGAGUGAAGAAGGUUUUCGGAUCGUAAAACUCUGUUGUUAGAGAAGAACAAGGAUGAGAGUAACUGUUCAUCCCUUGACGGUAUCUAACCAGAAAGCCACGGCUAACUACGUGCCAGCAGCCGCGGUAAUACGUAGGUGGCAAGCGUUGUCCGGAUUUAUUGGGCGUAAAGCGAGCGCAGGCGGUUUCUUAAGUCUGAUGUGAAAGCCCCCGGCUCAACCGGGGAGGGUCAUUGGAAACUGGGAGACUUGAGUGCAGAAGAGGAGAGUGGAAUUCCAUGUGUAGCGGUGAAAUGCGUAGAUAUAUGGAGGAACACCAGUGGCGAAGGCGGCUCUCUGGUCUGUAACUGACGCUGAGGCUCGAAAGCGUGGGGAGCAAACAGGAUUAGAUACCCUGGUAGUCCACGCCGUAAACGAUGAGUGCUAAGUGUUGGAGGGUUUCCGCCCUUCAGUGCUGCAGCUAACGCAUUAAGCACUCCGCCUGGGGAGUACGACCGCAAGGUUGAAACUCAAAGGAAUUGACGGGGGCCCGCACAAGCGGUGGAGCAUGUGGUUUAAUUCGAAGCAACGCGAAGAACCUUACCAGGUCUUGACAUCCUUUGACCACUCUAGAGAUAGAGCUUCCCCUUCGGGGGCAAAGUGACAGGUGGUGCAUGGUUGUCGUCAGCUCGUGUCGUGAGAUGUUGGGUUAAGUCCCGCAACGAGCGCAACCCUUAUUGUUAGUUGCCAUCAUUUAGUUGGGCACUCUAGCAAGACUGCCGGUGACAAACCGGAGGAAGGUGGGGAUGACGUCAAAUCAUCAUGCCCCUUAUGACCUGGGCUACACACGUGCUACAAUGGGAAGUACAACGAGUCGCAAAGUCGCGAGGCUAAGCUAAUCUCUUAAAGCUUCUCUCAGUUCGGAUUGUAGGCUGCAACUCGCCUACAUGAAGCCGGAAUCGCUAGUAAUCGCGGAUCAGCACGCCGCGGUGAAUACGUUCCCGGGCCUUGUACACACCGCCCGUCACACCACGAGAGUUUGUAACACCCGAAGUCGGUGAGGUAACCUUUUGGAGCCAGCCGCCUAAGGUGGGAUAGAUGAUUGGGGUGAAGUCGUAACAAGGUAGCCGUAUCGGAAGGUGCGGCUGGAUCACCU
rnacentral:rRNA from 3 species